GACCGGGGAGGGGGCGAGAGUCGCGAAGCAAAAGGCCCCUUCCCAGCUCUCCCCCCUCCUCCGAAACUGGCUCCCCUUCCCUCUCCCCUUCUCCCCCAUCUCCUCCUGUUGUGUUUUAAAGCUCCACCAACAUCUUUUCUAAGCCAGCCCUGUGUGUCAGCAUGGGGGCAGGAGAGGCAUCCUCUCACAGCUGGUGCUUCCCGCAUGAACUUCGAGUAUCCAGAAAUGCCACGGAGGAGGAUUCCUACCACUGCCACGUGCUUCAGUAGUGGGCAAUAGCAUUUCCACUGGCUGGGACCAGGGAAAGAAGGCACAGGGAGGUGGUCCAGUUAAAGAACCCAGCAGCCUAUUUCACAUGAAGAAGAGGAAAUACCUUUCCCCAGGGCACCCCAUAAAACUCCUUCUGCUAUGGCUUUCACUCUGCUGGCAGCUUCUCAGAUGCUGUGAGAAGCAUCCAGCGGCUUCAAGGAAUUCAUCACCAGCACAGGCCCUGAGGGCUGUGUGCCCUCGAUACCCUCUGAAACUGCUUUGCCUGCUGCUGUCCUAUGGACAGGACCCAGGACUGGGGUGGUAAGGAUGUUACCCAGCCUUUCCAUCAAGAGCGGUGCUGGGGAUGCGGCUGCAGAGAUGUGGACCGUUCCUGGGGAUGCUGCUUUGCUGCUCUGUGCCUCAGUUUCCCUGUUCACCCUUGUUAUUUGUGACCAUUUUUGUG
rnacentral:lncRNA from 1 species